ACGAACGCUGGCGGCGUGCUUAGCACAUGCAAGUCGAACGAUGACGACCGAGCUUGCUCGGUCUGAUUAGUGGCGAACGGGUGAGUAACACGUGAGCAACCUGCCCUUCACUCUGGGAUAACCUCGGGAAAUCGGGGCUAAUACCGGAUAUGAGCUCCUGUCGCAUGGCGGGUGUUGGAAAGUUUUUCGGUGAAGGAUGGGCUCGCGGCCUAUCAGUUUGUUGGUGAGGUAGUGGCUCACCAAGGCGAUGACGGGUAGCCGGCCUGAGAGGGCGACCGGCCACACUGGGACUGAGACACGGCCCAGACUCCUACGGGAGGCAGCAGUGGGGAAUAUUGCACAAUGGGCGAAAGCCUGAUGCAGCGACGCCGCGUGAGGGAUGACGGCCUUCGGGUUGUAAACCUCUUUCAGCAGGGAAGAAGCGAAAGUGACGGUACCUGCAGAAGAAGCGCCGGCUAACUACGUG
rnacentral:rRNA from 1 species